UACGGGGGGAGCAAGCGUUGUUCGGAUUUACUGGGCGUAAAGGGCGCGUAGGCGGCCAAGUAAGUUGGGGGUGAAAGCCCGUGGCUCAACCACGGAAUUGCCUUCGAUACUGCUUGGCUUGAGACCGGAAGAGGUGAGUGGAACUGCGAGUGUAGAGGUGAAAUUCGUAGAUAUUCGCAAGAACACCAGUGGCGAAGGCGGCUCACUGGCCCGAUACUGACGCUGAGGCACGAAAGCGUGGGGAGCAAACAGG
rnacentral:rRNA from 1 species